rfam:Nasonia vitripennis unplaced genomic scaffold ChrTn_0059, whole genome shotgun sequence.
UAACCGGCCCUUUUCAGGGACACCAACAAUCAAUAAAACGUUGGG